rnacentral:lncRNA from 1 species
GAUUAGGGUGUCUACAUGAUGCAACAUGUUUAUGGAGUACCCCCUGAUCAUCUUGUCAUCACCUGAUUUGGGCAUCAAGGUGUACCUCAUAAUAGUGUUGGUGGUGGGUAGUGCUGCUUGCAAAAAGUAGACUGAUACAAGCUUGUGUGACUUCAAGUAUUCCUCAGGAAUUAGGUUAUACAUGUUGUCCAUGGUGUCGUGGUUGAUCUUGGCCUGAGUACAAACUUCCAGAUCUCCAUCCCGCACCUCUGGGAUCCUAAGAUGGCAGCCCAUUCAUCAACGGUAGAUUGGUACCUGGUGCCUUGUCUCAUCCAUACAAUUCUACCAUAUGGAUAUAAAUG